rnacentral:tRNA from 1 species
GCAUUGGUGACUCAAUGGUAGAAUUCUUGCCUUCCAUGCAGGAGACCGGGGUUCGAUUUCUGGCCAAUGAA